AAACUAAAGCACUCAGUCGGGUUUUUUUGAAUUUGUUUUUUUUCUUAAAAUAAAAUAUUAGAAAUAAAACGUUUUUGCAUAUAUGUUAUGUUAUUAUUUUAUAUUGAUAUUUAUACCCUGGACCAAGUGUAUUAAGUUUGACACAAAGUUUGUAACACCCAGAAGGAAGCCUCAGAGACUCUAUAAAGUAUGUAUAUUAAGUGGGGGGGGGAUAGGGUUUUUACUUUCGAAAAUCAAUUUUUUUUCUUAUCUUAUUGUUUAACAUUUCAAGAAUAUAUCCUUAAAAUUUUAGGUCGAUAGAAGCUUAUCUAAGCAAUAUUCUUAAAGUUAUUGUCUUAUUAAUCUCCUGGCCUUUAACGCUCCAACCAAUAGUUCAUAAACUUUAGACGCGUUUUCCUAAGUCCGUGUUCACUGUCAUUUCAAAACUACUUGACCGAUUCAUUUCAAACUUUAUACACAUUUUCGACAUAUAAAAUACCGCCCCUCUAUUUUAGUUCAAAAAAAAAUUUUUACAUUAAGAGUGUUUUCCACCCUCAAAAUGGAGACAUUUUAGUGGAAAAUGAAAAUUUAAAUAGCCGCCAAAAAUUUUUAAAUGAAAACAAAAUUAUCAGAGAACGUUGGGGGGAAGAUUUGAUCAUAUUUUAACUAUUUUUCUUGGUUUUUUUUCGGAUAAUUUCCAGCCGAGUUAUGGUGAACACCGCAAAUUGUUUUUUUUUCUCAAGACGUUCUGGGGGUUACUUUUUUGUCGAACAAAAUAGUAUUGUUUCCACCAAAUAAAGAAAAUUUUAUUUUGUUUCAAUUCACCAUAGCUCAAAUUGUUUGGACGGUCAGCAAUUGAAAAAUGUUUGUACAGCACGCCAGAGGCUCAGUUAUAAGUUUUUUACCAACUACGAUGGAUAUGAUGGUGAAAAUAUGGGUAUAUAAUGGGCACUAAAAGGGGUCAAUACAAAUAAUAGGUCAAUACAUAUACGUAAUGAUGCAACAAAUUAAAUAGUGUCAAUUAGGUGGCGGUGCCAACGGAUUAAACUUUAUUACCACAUCAAAAACCAAGGUGGAACCUUCUUACAUGGUGAAUACAUAUUAAUUUAAAGUGCUCAGCUCAUUAUCUUGAUCCAAACUAACUAUUAACACGAAGUUUUUCGAAUUUUCAUGAUAAUUGAGAAAAAUCCACUAGGAGUAUGCUUUAAUUUUGGCCAACACUGUAUAUGUGUAUAUCAAUACAUUAUAAAUAUAGAUGUGAAUGUAUAUACACAUAUGUGUAUAAGAACAUAUAAACAUAUUAAUGUAUUAUUUAACAGAUAACUUGUGCUAUGUUCGUAUAUGCUUACAUACAUACACACAAAUGUAAAAAGCAUAUAAAAAUAAAUAGUUAACAAUAGAAAGUAGAAAACUGUAUGUCAGUUAAAUACAUUCGAGAGAAUUCACUGAACACAUUAUAUAAUCAUAGGAAUUUGUACUGAAGCACUGAAAUUUCCAUACCGACCAUAAAUGCAUUUCAUUACAAAUUUGUAUUUGAAAAUGGAAUUAGUUGAAAAUUAAAACUAGCAAACAAAAGCAAUUCACAUAAAAUAUGUUUAUAUAUAUACAUGUACAUGUAAGUAUAGAUGUGACCACAGGCUAACCAAAGCUUGUUGGCCAACGUUUUACAUUAGUUUUACAUAUGAUAAGCUUUGCUAGUAAGGCUGAUAAUAUAUUAAUAAAACAAAACGGGAAAUACGAAACAGAAAUAAGGAAAAAAGUAAAUAAUUAUGAGCAGAGGGGCUUAAUAUGCAAGCUGUCAGCGCGUUCAGCACAUACAUACACACAAAGAGUCAUGAGAGCAUUGCAUAAAAAUGCAUUAAAUAUAGAUGCACCGUUAUAAAUUUCAUUUAACAAUAACUGUAGAGUGCUUUUGAGUAAAAUAUUUUGUAAUAUACAUACAUACAUAGCUCUCCACUUACGGGAAAUUCGAUUUUAAUGGGCAUUUUUGAAAAUUCACGUUAAAAUCGACAUAUUUAAUUGGCGAAAAUUUAACAGCCUCCACAAAUUAAUUAAUUGCACCUAAGGUGAUAAUUAAGCUUAUAUAAUGUAUAUCAUAAUUCACUGAUAUACGAGAGCAUAUUGCAUAUCAAAAUUUCACAAAAAGAUAAAAAAAAAACAAAAGCAAACCUCACUAACGACUGCUGGUUAUUACAGUUCAAGCAAUAGCUCAAAAGCUUUAAAUAUUUUAUAGCGAACACAAAAAUAAAAUGAGAAAUGGAGAUUUAAUUUCCGAUGGAACCAGAUUUUAAAGCGUCUCAAACAUAAGAUAAUUAGACAUUUUAAAACAAAAUUCUAUCAUUUUCUUUGGGAUUAGUGCAUUUUCGACUCUGGUGAGUAAUUUUUAUACCCUGAACAGGGUAUAUUAAUUUUGCCACGAUGUUUGUAACACCCAGAAGAAAAAGUCAUAAAUUCUUAUCUGUCGGAAUAGCCGAUAUCGGACAACUAUAGCAUAAAGCUACCAUACAAACAGACCGAUCAAACUUAAGCCCCAGUAUGGAAAACUUUAUUUAUUAAAAAUUUAUCUUCACGAAAUUUUGCACAAAUUAUUGUCCAAGGCAACGCUACAAUCUUCGUCCAAUUUUUUCAGAUCGGACAACUAUAGCAUAUAACUGCCAUACAGAUUAACUGAUCAAACUCAAAUCCUUGUAUGAAAAAUUUUUUUCACACCUUAGAUAUCUUCACAAAAUUUGACAUAGGUUAUCAGCCAAGACAAUGCCAAAAAAACUUAUUUGAGAUAAUCUGCAACACCGGAACCAUCUCCAUCAUUUCCCACACUUUAUUUCAGUACAAAUAUCGCUUGUAGUUAAAAUAAGUUCGAUCAAACACACAGUCAGGAUUGGGGCGACUGUCAUAACUAAAUGGAAACGCUCAUGGCGAUAUAUACAACUAUACCUUGAGCAACAUGCUGCACUCGGGUAUAAUAUAGCGAGCAUGCAUCCAGUUAGAUAGUCGUGCUUACUUUGUCAAUACACAAGCCACUAAUUAAUGAAUUAAAAGUGAAAGGCAGGAAAAACUGAGAGCAAAAGAUGAAAUCAAUUAAACCUAAAUGGUUGGUGCUUCUGGGGCGUGAAGUGUUUUUUCAGUUUGCUUGCGAAGGCGAUGACGACGGCAUCUAAUAGAAAUUUCUAUCACGUUGCAUCGCGUAAACCGCAGACACCGCUUUACGCUUCCACGGCACAAACGCUGCCGCUAUUGCAGGAAAAAAUUCGGAACUGAAAAUGCAAUAAAACAAAUUAGCUACGAAAUUCAUUUAUAGCCGGUUGAACGCUUUUUGGGGGUUUUUCAUUUCCAUUUCAAUGGUUUUAGGCAACGCUCCAUCGAUGACCGAACGACCAAGCGAGCGACCGAACAAUGCAGUAGUUGCUCUGCACUUACGUACAACUACAAAAACAGCUUGCUCAUCGCUUACAAAACACUUGACUUUGCUGCUUUUUUAUUUUUGUAAACAAAUAUGAUUCGAAAUCACAGCUUAGUGGAUGAGCGUGUGUGCGUGGACAAAUUGCUUUUAAAGAUGGUUUCACACACAAUUCUUUGAUAGUUUGCGUUGAGAGAUCGUGGUGUUGCCACAUUUAAUAUUUUUUAUAGUUGAAUACUAUCUAGAUACAUUUUAGUUGCAUAAUUCCUAUAUUAAAUUUUAGUUGUCUUUUUUAUUGACAAAUAUAAAAGAUACAUAGUACUGUUUAAUUAAUUUAUUGUACCUCUUGAAAUGGAGCUUCACACAAUUUACAAGUCUAAAGCUGUCGCUUCACUUUGCCUUCCUGAUGUAUUGUAAAUUUGCAUGACAACAAUUUUUAUUACUCAAACAAGUCAAAUUUUAAUUGAAUACAUUAUAUAAUCCAAUUUAGUUCUUUAGACUAGUAAAAUAUUUUUGGAAUAGUAAAAUACAGCAAAGCUAGUUAUUGUUAUUAGUAAAGAGUUAGAGUAAAUCUAAUCGGUCUUAAAAUCCGUUGGUUUCAGAAUUCUAAUUUCAUAAAAAUCAAUCUGCCAUUCCGAAACUCCGUUUAUUGGUCGUCCAUUUGUCAAACAACAUCAAACCAAAAUUUCUUGUAGACCCCAGACAAGUGUGUUAUUACAGUACGAGCAAAAGUACGUUACCGAGCGCUGACCACGACAAUAAACACAAAGGUUGUUAAAUUUUUGAAAUUGGAGUGGCUCAUCCAAUUGACAUUAUUUUUCGAUUGACUACUCAUAUCAAUAUUUGCAUAAAAUAUUAUGUUCAAUGAGUUGCUUUGGGUUCUUUCACAAAAUUAUGAUAUGCAGCCUGCGAUUGACGAAAUGAUCUAGAUGAAAUCUACGCUAUUUCUAUGACUUUAAUGAGAAACCAGUAAAAAAAAGUCUAUUUAACUAGUUAUGUUAAUAGUUAUUUUUUUGGUGGUUUAGGAUCGGUGUCACCACUAUGAUCCUGACGACAAAAACAGUUUGAGUAUUGAGCACAAAAAGAGAACGGGAUACGGCGGUUUAUGCUAAACGAAUAUUUGUCAUAAAUCAGAUGAUGCCUUGAAAAUGAGUAUGAUUACUGCUCUUUAAAAAAAAUUUCUAACAUCAAAUAUUAAUUUACCGCUUAAUUCAAGCAGUAUAUUUACACAAGCAAUUAUGUACAUAGAAUAGCCGUACAUUAGUCUAAGCCCAUUUAAAGUAAUUAUUUAUGACAUUAGUGGCUAUGGCAACAUCAGCAAUGUCAGUUCUACAUGUAAGUAAGUAAGUGAUGGCGCAAUCUGCACUUUAAACGGCAGUGCUGCUACUGACUUCAUCGCCAAAGCCAAAUGCGUUAUCAUGAUGAUACUGCAUACCGCUAACUAACGGCGCGGAUGAUUACUGAAAUUUCGAGUUCGCUGUCAUUUGGGCAAUGUAGUUGACCGUAGCCGACCAACGCGUCUAUUGGCUAUUUGGAUUUGGUUCAAAGCGAUGCAGUACCAAACAUCAAAACGUGGUGCAUAUCGAAUAAAUUGGCAUUUACCAAU